rnacentral:rRNA from 1 species
UACGUAGGGGGCAAGCGUUGUCCGGAAUCAUUGGGCGUAAAGCGCGCGUAGGCGGCCCGGUAAGUCCGCUGUGAAAGUCCAGGGCUCAACCCUGGAAAGCCGGUGGAUACUGCCGGGCUAGAGUCCGGAAGAGGCGAGUGGAAUUCCUGGUGGUAGCGGUGGAAUGCGCAGAUAUCAGGAGGAACACCAAUAGCGAAGGCAGCUCGCUGGGACGGUACUGACGCUGAGGUGCGAAAGCGUGGGGAGCAAACAGG